rnacentral:rRNA from 1 species
UACAGGGGGCUCGAGCGUUAGUCGGAAUCACUGGGCUUAAAGGGUGCGUAGGCGGCUCGCCAAGUGCUUUGUGAAAUCCCACAGCUCAACUGUGGAACAGCAGGGCAAACUGGCGAGCUUGAGGCAGGUAGGGGCCGGAAGAACAGUUGGUGGAGCGGUGAAAUGCGUAGAUAUCAGGAGGAACACCGGUGGCGAAGGCGGAUCUCUGGGCCUUACCUGACGCUCAGGCGCGAAAGCUAGGGGAGCGAACAGG